GGACCUGGAGUCUGUCAUACAGAGUGAAGUAAGUCAGAAGGAGAAAAAUACCGUAUGCUAACACAUAUAUAUGGAAUCUAAGAGAAAAAAAAAUGUCAUGAAGAGCCUAGGGGUAGGACGGGAAUAAAAUGCACUUUUAAAAGCCAGGUGGAGGGGGCGGGUUGAAGGGUAUGUGAUCCGCUUGUGCGCACGGUUCUCUGAUUGGCUUAUGGUGAGGUAGCAGGGUGGUGUCACAGGAAUUAACAUUUAUCAGCCCUUAGGCCUGGAGCUGUGUGUUUAUGGUCAUCAAGUAGUUAACGUCUUCCAUUUGUUGGAGAGGGGAGUUUUUUACAUCUGCAAGACAACUCAGGAAAUGUGCGUCAAAUACUAUUAUCUAGAUACUUCAUAGGGGAGCCAAAGCAGAGGAUAUGGGGGAAGUCCUGUCCCGGGAAUGCCCCCAUGGGGUCCUGCUAGGUUACAAUAGUAGCUGAUUUUUAGGCAGUGGGAUGGAAUAUAGACUUUUGCCCCUGAGUUAUUUUCUCAUUUUUUCCACAACAAAUACAUAUUACUUGUUAACUUUUUAAAGGUGAAAAUAACUUUUUAAGUUAGCUGCAAAUAGUUUUAUUCAGUAACUUGGCUCGAUAGACCUAGGUUGUGUGAUGAAGCAUUUAUUAAAUAACCAAGUAAAUAUGUCAUUUUCUAUAUAAAAAGGCUUUCCUAGGUUUACUCUCUAUUGGACAUACUAGGAAGCUUUUUUAAUCCGUAAGGAGACUGAUUUUAAUUAUUGGUGAUAUUAAUUAAUUAAUUAAUAUUUUAUUAAUUUUUAUUAAUUAGCAUAUGAACUAGCAUAGGUCACUUAAUUGAACACUUCAGGUUCUUCUUCAUUAAAAUGAAGCUAAUAUUCCAUUAGUAAGUUUAUUGUGAGAAUUUAAGGUACUGUGGUCAACAAGGAGCCUAUGAUUAUGAAUGUGAAAGCACCGAUGAAUGUGUGGGCCAUAUAAAUACCAACUGUUGUUAAUUUUUCACUAGUCAACAAUAGUAGUAUUUACUGAGUACUUAUAAGACUGUUAGCACUUGCUUAGUAAGGUAUAUACAAAAUAAGAUUAAGAGAAGGAGCCUACACAAGACCAACAAAAGGAAGACAAUAACCAGUACACUGCUGUGGGUAAGUAAAGUCUCACGGGGAAUAGCCUGUUCUUUGCUGGUGGUGUUCAAGGCCAGGGGAGUCACUGAGCAUGGUUAGGAAGAUAGGAUAAUUAGGGAAGAGCUAGUCUCCUCCAUGUGGAGAUGGUUCUUGAACUGGCCUUGAAGACCAGGAGGAUGUGACUGAACAAAGGAAGAAGAUUACCAUCAUGAAUAAGGAGAUGGAGAUGGGAAAGAGCUGGAUGUUCUAGGCUCAUGAGGCGCAUGGUUUGACUGCAGUGGGUUGUUCAUAUUAGUGAGUGUGUUGGUUAGGUAAACCCAUGGCCAGAUCAUGGAGAAUGUUAAAAUCUGGAUAAAGGAAUACAGGGUUGAGAGAAGAAACAGGAUUCCAAUCCUAAGACCCUUUCACUCUCAGCAUGUGAUCCAGAACUAUUUCUUUUUCCACAGCUGAACUGAUAAACACACUUGGAUCUGCACUUGUUCUAUCCUCCGACUUCAGUGAAAACAUCUGUGGACGUCUGUUUACCUCUAUGCUUUCUUCUGUGCGUGUGUGGACAUUUUAACUGCUUUUAAGUGUCCAAUUAAUUGGACACAUGAUGUGCAACCAUCACCACUAUCUCUUUAAAAAAAUUUUUAUCACCACAAACAGAAACUCUGUACCCAUUAAGCAAUAACUCCUCAUCCUCCCGCCCUCCCUUCAGCCCCUGGUAACCUCUGAUCUACUUUCUGUCUCCAUGUAUUUGCCUACUCUAGAUACCUCAUGUAAGUGGAGUCAUACAGUAUUUGUCCUUUCGUGUCUGGCUUAUUUCACUUAGCUUAAUGUUUUCAGGCUUCAUCCAUGUCGUAGCAUGUGUCAGAACCUCAUUACCUCGUGGCUGAAUAGCAUUCCCUUGCAUGGAUAUACCAUUAAAUUGUCCUUUUGAAAUGAAAUGAAAUGCAAUAGUAUAUAGUCUUUUUUUUUCUUAAUGACAUUAUUUGAAAAAUUAAAAGUUGUCAACCUUAAGUCAGUCCCCGGAAUUUUUUUGAAUCUUUACGUAUCAAUCAAAGCAAAGUCUGGGGACCACACUCUAGGACAUAUGUCCUUUGCAAUAUGCUAGUUUGUUUUGGCACCAUCAAAAAUGGUUUGUAACAUGGAUUCGGUAGGUUCAAAGGAUGUUCAGUGACAGCUGUCUUUUCUCCUCAUUCUUAUCUCUGGACGACAUGGAAUUUUCCAUCAAAAGAAAUACCUUUUCAUUAUUUUUUGGCAUUAGAGCUUUCCAAGGAGGUGAAAGGAUGCUUUCCUGAUGUGAUGCAAUUAUGGGACAGAGAUGGGGACAAAGGUAUACUUUACAAACAAACACAGUUUUUAAAAAAAUAGGGGAAACAGUGAGAAGAGGGGAUUAGUUAAGUAGUGAGUAAUUAGACCCCAAAGUGUACUCACUCCACAGUGCUCUAAGCCAGCAGGCCUGGACCAUGGUGUUUUUAAUUAUCAGGCUAGGGCUCUCAUAAAUAAAAGCAAGGUCAAAAUAGGAAGUUGGCAGUAUUCCAAGUCUGUGGGUAUGAAAAUAGAGUAUCAGGCAGGUGACAUCUCAGAGUUUUAGCCACUUAGGUCUAUUUGGAGAAGCUACUUUUUAUAUUUUUAGUAAUUUUCCUAAGGUGGGUCCUGAAUCUCUUCUCCCCAUCGCUGAGAAUCCUUGCAGUGCCUCUCUUUGGAGGCUGGGAUGAAUGAGUACUAUAUGUGCUUCCUAUGUUCACAGAGAGUAAGAACACACUCUGCAGUAUGUGUUCACAAUCACUUACUAGAAAGGUAACACAGGAGAAUCCCCACCACCAUAGCCCUGGAGCUGUCAGGAUAGUGGAAGAAGACCCUGCUGAAUCGGGCAAUAUAGUGUCGCAGAUGUGGUUAUGGUUAGAGAAGCAGUAGGAGUAGAGGAAGAAAUGAAGGGGAAGAAUGUUUUCAUACGAAAAUCUCAGGAAAUGAACAAGAAGUUCCCACAGAGUUCAUCUAGUCCAAGCUCAAGACACUAAACUCUGAGAAGUUAUAUACCUUUUUUAAAAAAUUUUAUUGAAGUAUAGUUGAUUUACAAUGUUGUGUAAUUUCUGUGCAGCAAAGUGACUCAGUUAUACAUACAUAUACACACACAUAUAUAUACUUUUUCAUAUUCUUUUCCAUUAUGGUUUGUCACAGAAUAUUGAAUAUGGUUGCCUGUGCUAUACAGUAUGACCUUUUUGUUUAUCCAUCCUAUAUAUAAUAGUUUGCCUCUGCUAAUCCUAAACUCCCAUUCCUUCCCUCCCCUACCCCCUUCCCCCUUGGCAACCACAAGUCUGUUCUCUAUAUCUGUGAGUCUGGUUUUAUUUUGUAGAUAAUGUUGAUUUGUAUCGAAUUUUAGCUUCCACAUAUAAGUGAUAGCACUUGGUAUUGGUCUUUCUCUUUCUGACUUACUUUGCUUAGUAUGAUAAUAUCUAGUUGUAUCCAUAUUGCUGCAAAUGACAUUAUUUCAAGAAGUUGUAUAUCUUGAUCAAGUUCAUAGCGAUGAAUUCUCCUUAUUUCUAAUCAGAGCUUUUUCUUCUGCACCAAAGGAAGAGGCUAGUGGGAGUAAGGUGGUAAAAGUAUAAUGAGGUUGGUUUUGAUCUACUGUUCAUGAAAAAACAGGUAAAGGCCCUAUUAAGUGGGCUUAGUUUACCUGGAUUUCAAGUGUCAGGGUAAGGAAGCCACAUGUUAUUAUUUGUCAGUAUUGGUGAUAUGUUUCUUCUAAUAAAAAAAAAAUUACCAAGGAAUUAAUUUUAUUAAUUAAUUAAUUAAUUAAUUUUAUUUUCGGCUGCGUUUUGACUCUCCGUUGCUGCACGUUGGCUUUCUCUAGUUGUGGUGAGCUGGGGCUACUCUUCAUUGCAGUGCGUGGGCUUCUCAUUGCGGUGGCUUCUCUUGUUGCAGAACAUGGGCUCUAGGCACACGGUCUUCAGUAGUUGUGGUACACAGGCUCAGUAGUUGUGGCUGGCAGGCUCAGUAGUUGUGGCGCAUGGGCUUAGUUGCUCUGCGGCAUGUGGGAUCUUCCCGGACCAGGGCUCAAACCCGUGUCCCCUGCAUUAGCAGGCGGAUUCUCAACCAGUGCGCCACCAGGGAAGCCCCAGUUUUCUUUAUUAAUGUGGUACCAUUGAGGGCCAUGGGAAGAGAUGAGAUUUGGAUUUCUGAAUAAGUAUUCAUAUUUAUCCUGACUAUGAUGUGUCGGGGAGAGAUAGCCAACACUGACCUCCCAGGGUUAUCUCAUGUUUCUUCCUCAUUUGCUCACAUGACAGGAUAUUUAUAACAUAACCCAACUUAGUGCCCUGGUUCCUUCUUGGCAUUUUGACGAACUCUUCUCUAUAUAAUGGCAACCGUUUUAAGGCCCAUCCGGACUCUAGAGGAACCCAAUAUGAAAUUAUUAUCAUUCCAGGUUACCUUAAAGAUAGCUAGGCUCUAUGAGAUUGAGGAAAUAGUACGAUAAAAGGAAAACUAGUCUCACGUCUGAUUGUUCCUUCAUAACGCUCUCCAUCGCAUUGCAGGCAUGGCUUGGGGAGAAGGCUAUCUGUUUUGAUCAAGGUAAGAGCCUGGGAAAAAGGGUACGGCAGUAAUGGAGACAGAAAAGAAAGCCCACAUUUACUGAGUAUUGACUGUAUGCAGGCACUAUAUAUGCUAGCUUACUGGAUCUGUACAAUAAUCCGAACAUGGAGUGUUUUUAUGUUAUAGAUGAGGACGUUAGGAUUAGAGAGUCAUGCAUUUGAUGCUGAGAUUCAGGAUUUCAUAAUGCACAAAAUGGUCUUACCUUACCAGCGAUGUUCAUGGACCAAAACACCUACAUCCACUUUUGACGAUUAAGGAGUCCUGUUGAAGUAUUGUAUAACUAGGAUAUUUCAGAGUUCUUUACCCAUACUUUUUAAGGUUAUGAUGAAGAAAAGGGUCUGAAACGGGCCUUCUCUGCCAUCCAGAAAGGCCCUCUGGAUAGUAGCACCUCUCCAACCUUCUUUGCCCCUUACUUUGACUUUCUUUUCUUUCUUGAACUUAGCACCACUUGGCAUACACAUACUUGUUUAUUAUCUAUUUCUUUUAUGAGAAGGUAAGCUUCAUGAGAUGUGAUGCAAGCUCCAUGAGAUCAGGAGCUUUAUUCUGUUCAGUCCCUAAAAGAAGGCCUGGCACAUAGUAGGCCUAAAUAUUUGAUGGAUGUGUUAAUGCCAGAAACUUCCUAAGAGUUGGUAGCUCAGAAUCAGCAUGGGUCUUGAGUAAACAACAAAACCAAAAAGGAGAUUAUUCACAUAAAGAGAAAUGUAAAAGAAUGCAUGAGCUGUUGAGAAUAGACAAGAGGGGGGAAAAAAAGAAAAAGAAAAAAAAAAACUUCUCUUUUAUUCCAUUCAUAAGAAACCCAUUCCUGUUUUACAUGUGAAAAUGUUUCACGUGCCAUCUCCUUCACCCAAUAGUUAUCCUAAAGAGGGAUUUAAAAAUAAGUAUCAAAGAUACAGCUGUUUUCCCAUUUAAACAGCAGUCAGAAAAGAGCCCAAAGUGACAGUUUUCCUGUCUGGCCACUGUUCUGUUGUCUGUAACUGCUUUAUGACAUUUUGGGAAAACACAGCUAAAAACAAGUUAGUGCUGAGGUGGGUGUGCUUCUGAUUCCUUCUCCUCUUCAGAGCAUGGCUGAGUUGAAAACAUAAAACAUAGCCUGUGGCAUUGCUGGAUUCUCUGGAAGGGUGCUGUUCACAUUCAAGUUACUGAAAGGAAUUUCUCCUAGAAACUGCAGUGGAGCCACACUGGCACAUGAGGGCUAACUGUGAGUCUGGUUUUGGAUCUCAUAAACACGCCCUACUUUGGAGGUGUGAGGAGUGAGGGCAAGAGUGAGGAGUAGGACAGCCUGGGAACUCUUCACUGGAGUCCCCAUAGCCACUGUGGCUUGGCGGUAUCCAUGGUGCUGGUGAUGCUUGAGCUCCAUCUCGCCAAGGGCAGGGCUCAGCCUUGGCAUGGUGGUCGGCAGCACCGAGAAGGGCAGGCCACACCGGGCUUCAGGGGAGACUGGCCCGAGAUGUUUACAGCCAUGUCUCCCUCCUCAUUCUCCUCAGGUUGUUGGGUCACUGAAUCUGUUUCCUCCCUCCCAGCUUAAAGUCCUUGAGGAGAAUUCCAAUAACAUCUAGAGGAAGUGCUGGAAUCUAAGAAUUCUCUCUCCCAGUCCUCUUUGGGGGUAAAUCGGAGGUUUGGGUAAAAUUCUCAACCUGUAAAGAUGAGUAAAUAGAAAUUCUCCUCAGACAGUUUGGGACCCUAUACAAAGUUUACAUAAUUAAGACAACAGAGCCUAACAUUCAAGAAUCAUUCAUACAGUUACCAAAUAUUUAUUGAUUAUCUCUCAUGUACCAGACAUUCUUCUAGAUGCUUAGAAUAGAGCAGUGAACAAAAGAAACAAAAAUCCCUGCCUUCAUGGAACAUACAUUGUAUCAGAGAGAAAAUCUUUUUUCUGAAGGAAAGAAGGAAAUUUUAAAUAACAUCUGCUCUGCUCUGUUCUUUCAAAAAACAAACAAAAAGGAUUCCAUAGCUAUCCCACUUGGAGUGUAUACCCUCAGGAGACAUUCUACAUAUGCACAAGGAGAUUGGCACAGUGAUGUUCACAAAAAGUUGUUCAUGAUAGAGAAAAUUGCAAAUAACCUCAGUGUCACUAGAGAAAAGGAUAAAUGUGGUUUGUUUAUUUUAUAUCACUCAAUCACAGUGGUUUAGUGUAUAGCUCUGAGGCCAGAAGCCUGGGUUUUAAUCCAGCUGUACCACUCACUGGUCUUUUUUUUUUCCACCAGCUUUAUUGAGGUGUAAUUAACACAUUGUGUAAGUUUAAGGUGUACAAUAUGUUGAUUUGAUACAUUUCUAUAUUGAAAAAUGGUUACCACCGGACUUACCUGGUGGUGCAGUGGUUAAGAAUCCGCCUGCCAAUACAGCAGACAUGGGUUCGAGCCCUGGUCUGGGAAGAUCCCAUGUGCCGCGGAGCAACUAAACCCGUGCGCCGCAACUACUGAGCCUGCACUCUAGAGCCCGCAAGGCACAACUGUGGAAGCCCGCGCACCUAGAGCCCGUGCUCCACAACAAGAGAAGCCACCGCAAUGAGAAGCCUGCGUACUGCAAUGAAGAGUAGCCCCUGUUCGCAACUAGAGAAAGCCUGUGCACAGCAACGAAGACCCAGCACAGCCAAAAAUAAAUGAAUAAAUUAAUUUAAAAAAAAAAAAGAAAAAUGGUUACCACUGUUGUUAGCCAAUGCCUCCAUUGUGCCACAUAAUUACCAUUCCUUUUUUGUGGUGAGAAUAUUUAAGAUCUACUCUCUUAGCUACUUUCAAGUUCAUAAUAACAGUAUUAACUAUAACCACCAUGCUGUGCAUUAGAUCCCCAGAAUUUAUUCAUCUGAUAAUUGGAAGUUUGUACUCUUUGACCAACAUUUCCCCAUUUUCCAACACCUUCAGCCCCUGGUAACCACCACUAUACUCUCUUUCUAUGAGUUCAACUUUUUUAGAUUCCACAUGUAAGUGAGAUACAGUAUUUGUCUUUCUCUGAUUUAUUUCACAACAUAAUGCCGUUAAGGUUCAUCCAUGUUGUCACAAAUGGCAGGAUUUCCUUCUUUCUCAUGGCAGAAUAUAUUUACCACAUUUAUCCAUUUGUCCAUUGACAGACACUUAAUUGUUUUCAUAUCUUGGCUAUUGUGAAUAAUGGUUCAGUGAACAUGGGAGUGCAGAUAACUCUUCAAGAUCCUGUUUUCAUUUCCUUUGGGUAUAUAACUAAAAGUGGGAUUACUGGAUUUUAUGGUAGUUCUAUUUUUAAUUUUUUGAGAAACCUCCAUUCUGUUUUCCACAGUGGCUGCGCUAAUUUACAUUCCUUCCAACUGUGCACAAGGUUUUCCUUUUCUCCACGUUCUCAUCAACACUUUUAAUCUCUUGUCUUCCUGAUGAUAGCCAUUCUAACAGGUGUGAGAUGAUAGCUCAUUGUGGUUUUGAUUUGCGUUUUCCUGAUGAUUAAUGAUGUUGAGCACCUUUUAAUGUACCCGUUUGCCAUUUGUAUGUCUUCUUUGGAAAAAUGUCUUUUCAGAUCCUCUGCCCAUUUUUUAAUUGGAUUGUUUGUUUUUUGCUAAUGAGUUAUAUGAGUUAUUUAUAUAUUUUGGAUAUUAAUCCCUUAUCAGAUACAUGAUUUGGAAAUAUUUCUUCUGUUUGGUAGAUUGCCUUUUUAUUUUGUUGAUUGUUUCUUUUGCUGUGUAGAAGCUUUUCAGUUUGAUGUAGUCUUAUUAAUUUUUGCUUUUAUUGCUUUUGCCUUUUGGUGUAAUAUCCAAAAAAUCAUUGCCAAGACCAAUGUCAAGGAGAUUUUCCCCUAUGCUUUCUUCUAGGAGUUUUAUGGUUCAGGUCUUAUGUUUAAGUCUUUACUCCAUUUCAAGUUUUUGUGAGUGGUUUAAGAUGGGUCCAUUUACAUUCUGUCUUAACCACUGCCACAUCCUAAACUAAAAUGUUAGAUGGGCUGGGGAGUAAAAUGUAACAGAACAUGGACAAAUAUUUACAUAAUCUUGGGUUGGGAAAGACUUGUAAAUGUAUUAUCAAAGACAGAAAGUAGAAAAUAAAAGAUGGAUACAUGUGACUAAGAAAACUUCUAAUAACUGAGACUUGUAUGUUAGAGUCAUUAUAAACAAUUAAAAAGAAAUUGAUGUACUUAAGAAUUUUACAUAUUCAAAAAGAAAGCCAUAAACCUCCCAAUAAGGAGGUUUUAUUAGGACAUGAAAAUGCAGUUCACAAAAGAAUAUCUCUAAAUGACCAGCAUGCAUAAGAAAAAGUAUUUAAACUUGCUGGUAAUCAAAGAAGUUGGGGACAAACUAAAUACCUAACCCCAAAGAACAUUGGUUAAGUAAAUUAUGGUACAUCCAUAUGAAUAACUAUGUCAUAAUCAUUCAAAAUAAUGGCACAGAGUCAUAUUUUAUGAGGUAGGAAAUAAUUGCUGUGGAAAUAAGUUUGGUGAAAAUAAGUUGGUAUUCUCUAUGUUUCUGUUUUUAUGUAACAAAAUAUCAGAUGAGAGAAAAAGAAAAAAGAAACUCUGUCCCCUGGAAAAAGGAUCAAAAUAUUAAUAAUUAUUUUUAAGUGGGGGAAUAUAGGAACCUCUCCUAUUUUGCGGUUUUCUCUUUCAAAAUAUUUUGUCUUGAAUAUGUAUUACUUUGCUAAUAAGAAAGGAAAAGUAGUAUUUUUAAGGUUGGUGUAGACAAAGACACAGGAGCCAGCUUGAAGGGGUACCUGCUGGUCAGAUUUGGGGCCAUUUGUUCAUCAUAAAGAAUAAUGAUGGUAAGCAUUAUUAAAAGGGGACGGGGAAAGAGAGCUCUUCCUUACUAGACAAUGCCGCCUAGUAAAUACAGAAGAAAUUAUUACAUGGGAUAUCAGUAUUUGCAAUUCCCAAUGUAAUAACUGAUUUGGCAGUGAUCGGCAAUGAAUGUAAAGAUCGUUGAGGGAAAGGUUGUUGGGGAACAGGAUGUUACGUGGAGUCUCGUGUUUCACAACCCCUGCCCACCAGCAUUACAUAGUAUUACAAGGGAAGCAAUGCACCUUUACAGUGGAGAGAUCUAGCUGACAGCACCUUUUAGCCAAGUGGUCAAACUUAGCACGAUGGUACAAACGGUCAUUAUGUGCAAUCAGAAUUACACAAACAUCACCUCUGUAUGUUCCUUCUAAAAAUGUUUAACCUGGAUCUAAUUAUGAGGAAACAAUCAUGCAAACCCAGAAUGUGGUGCAGUCUCAAGCCAACCGACUAGACUCUUCAAAAAGGGAAACCAAAGAAGGCAUGAGGACAGUUCUAGAUUUAAAGACACCAAAGAGACAUAAUAACAAAUGCAGUACUUGAACCUAUGAAAGAUAUUAUUGGUACCAUGAAGGAAAUUUUAAAAUUUUAAAUUAAAAAAAUCUAUUAACAUUAGCUGUUAUAAAUAGCUAUAAUAUAAAAUUACAGUGUAAAUUAAUAUGCUUAUAAUUUAUUUGUAGUAUAUAUUUAUAAUCUUAUAAUUUAUAAUAAAGUAAUUAAAUUAAUGUUAUUUUUAAGAUGUGAUAUAAUUAUGUAGGAGAAUGUUCUUAUUCAUAGAAGAUACUUGACAAAGCAUUUAGGAACAAAGUAUCAUGAUGUCUGCAACUUACUUUUAAAUGGUACAUCAAAAAUACAUAUGCGAGAGACGUAAAAUAAAUGAGGCAAAAUGUUAACAACUGUAGGUGAAGGGUAAGGAGUGUUCAUAGUAUUAUUCCUUCAACUCAUUUCUAUAGGUUUGAACCUUUUCUACAUAUAAAAGGUUGGGGGGGAGGUUCAGGUGGCAAUAAAAAGGAGAGGGCAAGUAUGGAAUAAAUGAGACAAGGGACAUGGCAGCCCAGUACAGUGUAUGGAUCUUGUUUAGCUCUUGAUUCAAACAAACCAAUUAUAGUAAUAUGUUUAUGAGAAAAUCAGGAAAAUCUGAACGCUGAUGCGGUAUUUGCUGAAAUGAAGUAUGAAGCAGAUGGAACAAAACUGGCCAUAUGAUGAUAAUUGUUAAAGCUGGACGAUGGGUAUGUGGGGAAUGCUUAUAUUAUUCUGCCUACUUUUGCAUGUUGGAAAAUUUCCAUAAUAAAAAAGUUAGGGGUACAACUCAAAAUUACAUAACUAAUGUUGGACUUUUGUCAGCGAGUGGGGAGUAACUAAUAGAUAUCUAAAUAUAUUCCCAUGGUUCUCUGUUAUUAAAUAAAAGAAUGACAUAAGUUGUGAAAUCAAGAUUAGAGCCUUGAGUUUCUCUCAUAGUAGUGCUUUCAAGUGAAUUUGGGGGGAGCUGUGGAGGUGAAAAUUAUGUGGAUGUAAUUGUCUUUCUAUUUUUUUCCCUUUUAUUUUCAUUCUCUCGAUUUCCCUAAUGCAUGAGGCUCCUGACCACCAUAAAGAAAGCUAGAGCUGGGGCAUUAUCCUCAUCACUUCUGAAGCUGAUGGAAUGACAAUUGCAACACGACUUUCCCAGGGCCCUGAUUUUCAGCACGGAUGAUUUUUUCUUCAGGGAAGAUGGUGCCUAUGAGUUCAAUCCUGACUUCCUGGAGGAAGCUCAUGAAUGGAACCAGAAAAGAGGUGACAAAUUCCUUUCCACACCCCUGGUAAAUCCUAUUGUGCACAUAGAUUGUAGUUACUGCAAAAUGAAAAAGUUGUAUGGAAGGAGCUUAAUCUAAAGUUCUGCCAUUUUUUCCCCCAAACAGAAUGCCAGAGUGUAACCUCCCUAGAUUCCAGGAAAAAGAAAAUUAUUGAUAGUGGGUUCUGAAAUAGGUGGUAUUAAAGUUGUAUGAGCACAUCCUGUAAUAAAAAUAACAAAAUAUGGAGUACGCUCACCCUUCUCUGAUUGUUACUUGUUGUUCACUGUUAUAUAACAUUGUGUUGCAGCAAGAAA